GGGCCGAUAGCUCAGUCGGAAGAGCGCCGCACUCGCAUUGCGGAGGUCGUGGGUUCGAGUCCCAUUCGGUCCACCA
rnacentral:tRNA from 2 species